GCUAUGGCCUGCUGGUUAGUGCGUGUUUUCCAACACGUGUCAAGAUGAGCGGCUGUUGCAAGUGAGCAGUGAGGAAGGAGACAGAAGCGGAUGAAGCUUUAAAGGAUAGCCUGUGUGGACCCCAGCUUGCCAAACGUAGGGGCUCGUGGACUGUUCCCUGCUCCUCCACACUUCUGGGAGGAGGUGCCUUCAAAAAA